UUACAUCUAGACUAGAAGGACAAUGAAUGAAUUAUAAGUGCCUAAUGGGGAUGCCAUAAUGUUGAGCUUUCAUGUGUACAAAGACUCCUAGAACUGGGUGUGUCCUUGCAGGCACCCUGGAAGCUUUGAUAUGGAGCUGUUGUUACAAGAGACAUAGGCUACUAUAGCAUGAGUCUGGAUACCCACACCCGCCCAAAGUACAUCUCAUUUCCUGGGCCAAAGUUGUCACCUGGGGACCAAACAUGACUAGAUCUUGGACUGCUGUGGAGACUCCUGGGAAUAGGAAAGUCCUGGUGCUACCCUUAAGCAGGCUAUUCUUGGACUGCAACAAGCAUGUCCUAUGGUCAGUUACAGCUAGCGAAGCACUUGGAAUAGUUAACUUAGCUAGAGCAACAUCUAAAGGAGGGGAAGGCAAUGCUCACUACUGGCCUAGGACUUCAACAUACUGUAUAAGAGUUCAUAUCAUCUCACAACACUCCCUUCAGGUUGGCUUCAUUCUUAACAUUUUCCUCAUGGCCACAAGAUGGUUGCCGGCAACACUGGUUCAUACUUAGCCUGAAA